UGUCUGCUGGUUACAACACUUUCUUCUUUCAAUAAGCACAAUACUGCAGUACAAUGGGGAUUUUAACAGCUCUCUGUAUAAUAGUGACAGCUCUAUCAAGUGUCCGGUCUGAUGUAGUGUUGACUGAGUCCGGAGCAGGAGUUGCAAAGCCUGGAGGGUCCCAUAAACUGUCCUGUAAAGCCUCUGGAUUCACAUUCAGCAGCUACUACAUGAGCUGGGUUCGACAAGCUCCUGGAAAGGGUCUGGAAUGGGUGGCUUACAUUAGCAGCAGUGCUGCUGGUAGUAGUACAAGCUAUGCCCCGUCUGUCCAGGGAAGAUUCACCAUCUCCAGAGACGAUUCCAACAGCAUGCUGUAUUUACAAAUGAACAGCCUGAAGACUGAAGACUCUGCCCUGUAUUACUGUGCUCGAUACUCACAGUGA